rnacentral:tmRNA from 1 species
GGGGAUGUCAUGGUUUCGACAGGUUUAUGUUUGGUGCUGACUGCAGUCGGGUGGUUUCGUAAGAACCAAUUAAAAAUAACUGGAAACAGAAAUUUAGCUUUCGCUGCUUAAUCGACGACAUAGUCUUACAGCGUGUCUGAUCUUAUUUGCCAUUAGGUAAGUCUCAGGCAUCACUCUAUAAUGGAUAAGAUGUGGCUAAGCUUAUGUGUCACAUACGAAAAAUUUAUAAGCGACCUCAUAUCUGCUUUGUUUAUCGGCUAGGAUAUGUUGUAUCAAAGAUAAACUAAACUGUAGACGUUGGUACGUGGGGCUAUUCUUGGACGGGGGUUCGACUCCCCCCAUCUCCACCA